UUCUUUGCCACCCUUGAGGGUAAAAAGGCGAAAGUUACUUCUUUGAAGAAUGAGUAUAAUGAAUUGAAGGAAAAGGCAGACCAGCUGCAAUCACAGGUGGAUUCAAGCUUAUUGACUGUGCAAGAAAUUGACAUUCAAAUAGCUCUACUUCAAUCCAGGCGAGAUGAGCUUACUAAUGCAAUUGAGACUAACAAGGCAGCAAAGGUCGAGGUGACUUAUGCUCAAAAGGUGGUGGCAAAUGCAAUUCCAAAAGUUGUGCGUGAGAUUCAGCUUGCCAACUGCAAAAUGCCAGAAUUGGAGCUGAAAAAGACAAAUGCAGUAAAGCGAGAAUCGGAAAUUCUAGCAAAAUUUGCCCCUCUGGAAGGUUUUUCUCUUUAAGCAAUGGCUUUAGAGCUAUGGUUCCUCCCUCCUCUUCCUAAGUCUUUGGAAACAUGUUUAUGGCAAAUGGCAAUUACUUUCUGUUGCAUGGCUCGAUCCCAUGUCGUUUUGUUGUAAUAUUACAAUUUAUAGUGGAUGGUAUGUUGGG
rnacentral:misc_RNA from 1 species